rnacentral:rRNA from 1 species
GACGAACGCUGGCGGCGUGCUUAACACAUGCAAGUCGAACGGAAAGGCCCUGCUUUUGUGGGGUGCUCGAGUGGCGAACGGGUGAGUAACACGUGAGUAACCUGCCCUUGACUUUGGGAUAACUUCAGGAAACUGGGGCUAAUACCGGAUAGGAGCUCCUGAUGCAUGGUGGGGGUUGGAAAGUUUCGGCGGUUGGGGAUGGACUCGCGGCUUAUCAGCUUGUUGGUGGGGUAGUGGCUUACCAAGGCUUUGACGGGUAGCCGGCCUGAGAGGGUGACCGGCCACAUUGGGACUGAGAUACGGCCCAGACUCCUACGGGAGGCAGCAGUGGGGAAUAUUGCACAAUGGGCGGAAGCCUGAUGCAGCAACGCCGCGUGCGGGAUUACGGCCUUCGGGUUGUAAACCGCUUUCGCCUGUGACGAAGCGUGAGUGACGGUAAUGGGUAAAGAAGCACCGGCUAACUACGUG